GGGCAAUUGGCAGAUCAAGCGUUUGACUUCGCAUGAAUGAGUUCAUUCAUGAAGCGAAACGCUUGAUCUGCCAAUUGCCCUU
rnacentral:snRNA from 1 species